AUCGUGCCAAGCUUUGUGCUUU
rnacentral:miRNA from 1 species